rnacentral:rRNA from 1 species
AUUGAACGCUGGCGGCAGGCUUAACACAUGCAAGUCGAGCGGAGAUGAGGUGCUUGCACCUUAUCUUAGCGGCGGACGGGUGAGUAAUGCUUAGGAAUCUGCCUAUUAGUGGGGGACAACAUUCCGAAAGGAAUGCUAAUACCGCAUACGUCCUACGGGAGAAAGCAGGGGAUCUUCGGACCUUGCGCUAAUAGAUGAGCCUAAGUCGGAUUAGCUAGUUGGUGGGGUAAAGGCCUACCAAGGCGACGAUCUGUAGCGGGUCUGAGAGGAUGAUCCGCCACACUGGGACUGAGACACGGCCCAGACUCCUACGGGAGGCAGCAGUGGGGAAUAUUGGACAAUGGGGGAAACCCUGAUCCAGCCAUGCCGCGUGUGUGAAGAAGGCCUUAUGGUUGUAAAGCACUUUAAGCGAGGAGGAGGCUACUGAGACUAAUACUCUUGGAUAGAGGACGUUACUCGCAGAAUAAGCACCGGCUAACACUGUGCCAGCCGCCGCCGUGACAC